AUGUUUACUGUGGGCUUAGACGUUGAUACGCGUGCCUACUUCACCGCAGCUACCAUGAUCAUAGCUGUGCCCACAGGAAUCAAAAUCUUUAGUUGGAUCGCUACCAUGUGGGGAGGUUCGAUACAAUACAAAACACCCAUGUUAUUUGCUGUAGGGUUCAUCUUUUUGUUCACCAUAGGAGGGCUCACUGGAAUAGUUCUAGCAAACUCUGGGCUAGACAUUGCUCUACAUGAUACUUAUUAUGUGGUUGCACAUUUCCAUUAUGUACUUUCUAUGGGAGCCGUUUUUGCUUUAUUGCUGGAUUUUACUAUUAGGUGGGUAAAAUCUUUGGUCGGACAUAUCCUGAAACUUUAG
rnacentral:rRNA from 1 species